AAUGUAGUAUCCAAAGAAGUUGAGGAAAUCCCACCCAAAAAUAAAAUACUUCGAAAAACUGUUGGAAUCAAAGAUGGAAAUGAGAAUACUACAAAAACAAAUCAAAAAUCAUUUUGUGAUACUGACAUUGAGAGUGACUGGGAAAGUAAUGUAUUUUUGCCUUCUAAACUUAACAAUUGCCAAAGGAGUAAGGCUGCAGGUAAUCAACGGGUUGAUAAAGUAAUUAAAAAUAAGAGUGCUGCAGUCAAUUCUUUGGCUAAAAAUAUUAAUGCAAACUGUCUAAAUGUUGAUGCAAUUAAAAAAACAGCAAACAAUUGUCAACCAUCAAUUUGGGAUACAGACUUUGAGAGUGAUCUAGAAAGUUUUGUAAUUUUGCCCAAAAAAACAGGAAACUGUAAAACAAAUAAUGCUACAAUUAACAAAAGUAAGUAAA